rnacentral:rRNA from 1 species
CAGUCGCCGCGGGAAUACGAAGGGGGCUAGCGUUGCUCGGAAUUACUGGGCGUAAAGGGAGCGUAGGCGGAUCGUUAAGUUGGGGGUGAAAGCCCGGGGCUCAACCUCGGAAUUGCCUUCAAUACUGGCGAUCUUGAGUAUGGAAGGGGUAUGUGGAACUCCGAGUGUAGAGGUGAAAUUCGUAGAUAUUCGGAAGAACACCAGUGGCGAAGGCGACAUACUGGUCCAUUACUGACGCUGAGGCUCGAAAGCGUGGGGAGCAAACAGGAUUAGAUACCCCCGUAGUCCCUGUCUCUUAUAC